rnacentral:rRNA from 1 species
AGCCAGCAGCCGCGGUAAGACGAAGGUGGCGAGCGUUGUUCGGAAUCACUGGGCAUAAAGCGCACGUAGGCGGUGACGUAAGUCGGGUGUGAAAUCCCUCGGCCUAACCGAGGAACUGCGCCCGAUACUGCGUUGCUUGAGGAUCAGAGGGGUGCAUGGAAUUUCCGGUGGAGCGGUGAAAUGCGUUGAUAUCGGAAGGAACUCCGGCGGCGAAAGCGAUGCACUGGCUGAUUUCUGACGCUGAGGUGCGAAAGCCAGGGGAGCAAACGGGAUUAGAUACCCCGGUAGUCCUGGCCGUAAACGAUGGGUACUAGGUAGGGGGAUUUCAAACGUCUCUCUGCUGGAGUGAAUAUAUUAAGUACCCCGCCUGGGAAGUACAGUCGCAAGGCUGAAACUCAAAGGAAUUGACGGGGGCCCGCACAAGG